GAUGAACGCUGGCGGCGUGCCUAAUACAUGCAAGUCGAGCGAACGGACGAGAAGCUUGCUUCUCUGAUGUUAGCGGCGGACGGGUGAGUAACACGUGGAUAACCUACCUAUAAGACUGGGAUAACUUCGGGAAACCGUAGCUAAUACCGGAUAAUAUUUUGAACAGCAUGGUUCAAAAGUGAAAGACGGUCUUGCUGUCACUUAUAGAUGGAUCCGCGCUGCAUUAGCUAGUUGGUAAGGUAACGGCCUACCAAGGCAACGAUGCGUAGCCGAUCUGAGAGGGUGAUCGGCCACACUGGAACUGAGACACGGUCCAGACUCCUACGGGAGGCAGCAGUAGGGAAUCUUCCGCAAAGGGCGAAAGCCUGACGGAGCAACGCCGCGUGAGUGAUGAAGGUCUUCGGAUCGUAAAGCUCUGUUAUUAGGGAAGAACAUCUGUGUAAGUAACUGUGGACAUCUUGACGGUACCUAAUCAGAAAGCAACGGCUAACUACGUG
rnacentral:rRNA from 1 species